CCUGCAGGUCUUACUGGAGGUUGGAGAGGGAUUCAGUCCUCCCUGAGUGCUGAAGAAGACCAAAGAGCAGGAGCUGUCAAACAGGAUGUCGUGCCAGCAGAAUUCUCAUUGAACACUUGAUGUCAUAUGUCAUCUGACACUGGCUCUUCAGUCGGGUCAUUCCAGGAUAAGAUACUGGAGAUACCAUGGGGAGAAAAAAGGUGAUGGUCUUGGCCUAGCCAUUUGGAGCUCUGACUUGAGUCUCUACAUUUCAUGGCAUCAAGAAGACAUCAAAAUACCAGUGAUGAGCAUAUCAUGAGAGGACAGAGCAUCAUCAUAUAAAAAGCUACCCAGACUUUAAUGGUGACUUCUGGACUGUGGACUCAAGGGUUCCCUGAUUACCUGAGCCUUCCCCCAAAAUGAGGACUGCCCCCAAGGACUCUGCCUCUGUCUUCAGGU